GACGAACGCUGGCGGCGUGCUUAACACAUGCAAGUCGAACGGAAAGGCCCUGCUUUUGUGGGGUGCUCGAGUGGCGAACGGGUGAGUAACACGUGAGUAACCUGCCCUUGACUUUGGGAUAACUUCAGGAAACUGGGGCUAAUACCGGAUAGGAGCUCCUGCUGCAUGGUGGGGGUUGGAAAGUUUCGGCGGUUGGGGAUGGACUCGCGGCUUAUCAGCUUGUUGGUGGGGUAGUGGCUUACCAAGGCUUUGACGGGUAGCCGGCCUGAGAGGGUGACCGGCAAAAUUGGGACUGAGAUACGGCCCAGAAUGCUACGGGAGGCAGCAGUGGGGAAUAUUGCACAAUGGGCGGAAGCCUGAUGCAGCAACGCCGCGUGCGGGAUGACGGCCUUCGGGUUGUAAACCGCUUUCGCCUGUGACGAAGCGUGAGUGACGGUAAUGGGUAAAGAAGCACCGGCUAACUACGUG
rnacentral:rRNA from 1 species